UAUAGUCAAAUUAAUUGGUUAAAGCUAAUAAAUAACUACUAUAAAGUACAACAACUCUACUUAUUAUUGUAAGAGUAAAAUCUUUAUAAAUAAGAUAGGAAUGUGUUAAUGUAACAUUAAUUCUCUUACGAGGCGCUAGCAUAAAGACUAGGAUUAGAUACCCUAUUAUGGGCGUGAGUAUGAAAGUUUAUUAAGUUAAUAGCCUUAAUUAAAGCAAAACCUAUUUACUAUGGCGGCUGUUAGUCUCACCAGAGUCGUAUGUCCUUAAACGAAACUGCGCGAUCAUCUUACCUUUUAACUUUUGCUAAUAUAAAAUAAUUACAUUAUAGCAAUCUGGCACGUCGCUGUACUAAAAGUGAAGAUUUUAAAUAACUCAUCUUCUAAUUACUUAUUAGCAUUUAUUAAUAACGUACAAGUCAAGACGCCGUUUUAAGAGGCUUAAGAUGUACGAUUUAAUUGAUUUGAUAGAAUUUAUAAGAAUGAAAACUUUCUUUAUUAAAAUAAUUUGGAAGUAAAAUAGGGUUAUUAUUCUUAUUUGAAAUGAGCUACUAAUAAGU
rnacentral:rRNA from 1 species